GGUUAAGUGACUAAGCGUACACGGUGGAUGCCUUGGCAGUUGGAGGCGAUGAAGGACGUAUUAACUUGCGAUAAGCCUGGUCAAGCUAGUAAAAAGCGCUUGAGGCCAGGAUUUCCGAAUGGGGAAACCCACCUGCUUGCAGGUAUCUUGCACUGAAUACAUAGGUGUAAGAGGCGAACGCGGAGAACUGAAACAUCUAAGUACCCGUAGGAAAAGAAAUCAACCGAGAUUCCGAAAGUAGCGGCGAGCGAAAUCGGAGCAGCCCUUAAGCUUAUUUGAUGUUAGUGGAAGCCUCUGGAAAGUGGCACGAUACAGGGUGAUAGUCCCGUACACGACAAUGUCUUAUAAGUGAAAUCGAGUAGGUCGGAGCACGUGAAACUUUGACUGAAUAUGGGGGGACCAUCCUCCAAGGCUAAAUACUCCCAACUGACCGAUAGUGAACCAGUACCGUGAGGGAAAGGCGAAAAGAACCCCUGUGAGGGGAGUGAAAUAGAACCUGAAACCGUGUACGUACAAGCAGUAGGAGCCCUUCGAGGGUGACUGCGUACCUUUUGUAUAAUGGGUCAGCGACUUAUAUUUUGUAGCGAGGUUAACCGA
rnacentral:rRNA from 1 species